GAUGAACGCUGGCGGCGUGCCUAAUACAUGCAAGUCGAGCGAACAGACGAGGAGCUUGCUCCUCUCACGUUAGCGGCGGACGGGUGAGUAACACGUGGAUAACCUACCUAUAAGUCUGGGAUAACUUGGGGAAACCGGAGCUAAUACGGGAGAAUAUAUUGCACCGCAUGGUUCAAUAGUGAAAGACGGUUUUGCUGUCACUUCUAGAUGGAUCCGCGCCUCAUUAGCUAGUUGGUAAUGUAACGGCUUACCAAGGCGACGAUGCGUAGCCGAGCGGAGAGGGGGAUCGCGCACAGUGGAGCUGAGCGACGGUCCAGGCUCCUACGGGAGGCAGCAGUAGGGAAGCUUCCGCGAUGGGCGAAAGACUGACGGAGCAACGCCGCGUGAGUGAUGAAGGGCUGCGGAUCGUAAAACUCUGUUAUGAGGGAAGAACAAAUGUGUAAGUAACUAUGCACGUCUUGACGGUACAUAAACAGAAAGCCACGGCUAACUACUU
rnacentral:rRNA from 1 species